UGGAGCCUCAUAACUCCUUUAAG
rnacentral:tRNA from 1 species